rnacentral:rRNA from 1 species
UACAGAGACUGCAAGCGUUAAUCGGAAUUACUGGGCGUAAAGCGUGCGCAGGCGGUUUUGUAAGUCAGAUGUGAAAUCCCCGGGCUUAACCUGGGAACUGCGUUUGAAACUACAAGGCUAGAGUGUGGCAGAGGGGGGUGGAAUUCCACGUGUAGCAGUGAAAUGCGUAGAGAUGUGGAGGAACACCGAUGGCGAAGGCAGCCCCCUGGGUUAACACUGACGCUCAGGCACGAAAGCGUGGGGAGCAAACAGG